rnacentral:rRNA from 1 species
AACGUAGGCCGCAAGCGUUAUCCGGAGUUACUGGGCGUAAAGCGCGGGCAGGCGGCUGUCUAAGUCUGAUGUGAAAGCGCCCGGCUUAACCGGGCGAGGCCAUUGGAAACUGGAGAGCUGGAGGGCAGUAGAGGCAGGCGGAAUUCCGGGUGGAGUGGUGAAAUGCGUAGAGAGCCGGAGGAACACCAGAGGCGAAGGCGGCCUGCUGGGCUGCACCUGACGCUGAGCCGCGAAAGCCAGGGGAGCAAACGGG